UGUGACCAUCCCAACGCAAUUCAAUUCUCAAUCUCGUCCACCAAACCAAAAACCUAAACCAGAACAACUUCUCAUCUCCUCCAUUAAAAAAAAAAAAAAGCGCACCAACCGUGAUCUGUAUCUUACAAGGGCUCGUUCUUUUGCUGCAUACGUAAUUUUCUCUGGUGGUCUUUGAUGUGGUUUUUCACUUUAUUGUUAUUCAUGGAUCUCUCUUCUCCAAAGAAAAAUCGACGUAUAUGCUUCUAUAAAGGUCAGAUCUGAAGGUCUCGGUUAUGGCUUGGACUGUCUGCGUGUGCUGAUCUGAGACUUCUGCUCGAGAGAGAUGAUGAAGCCGGAAUUUUCUUUUUGUUGUCUAGAACAACAGAAUCAAGAGGAGCAGAGGCAGAGCGAAGAAAAUGAGCUUUGGACUUCAUUCCCGGCCCCUGAAGUUGGCGUUAAUUGAGCCGUAGAUUCAGACUUUAGGCUUGACGGAUGUUGAUUAUUUACCAUCUCAGUCUUUCGCGACACUUCGGACCAGUCAAAGUGGUUCCUUGGGCGAUCUUGUGGUGGACUGGGAUUUAUCAGAGGGGUUGAGUUGGGUCCCUGGAUGUGUGGUUUUGCGGCGGAAAAAAUGCGGAGCUUUAUUGGGUCCAACGGGUCUUGCAAAAGUCGGUGUUGCAGUUCUUCCGCUGUUCCCAUCAUCUUUUCCAGUUUUCCCAUCAUCUUUAACACUCCCUCGGGUGCCUGUGCCACUGCCUCCAGCACCAGCAGCGCCUGUUCCACUGCUUCCGGCACCAGCUCCAAAUCCUCCUGAACUUGAACCAUUUUGGCUGUCUUUCUUGUCAGGGCAGAUUUGUAGGUGUUUGCGAACUUGUUUCCAAUCAAAAUAAACCUUCCCGCAGAA